AUCGAAUGUUAUUUACGUCAAGAUGGCUACGACAAAUACUGAAACUGCACAAAAUGGCCAAAAUAGACGAGCACAGGUGAUGAUCGGGGAACUCCCCGGAGACUUCCUGCGUGUCUCCUACAACCAACAGCAGCAGAUGAUGGCGGAUGAACGCAUCGCUCAGAUCCUGCAGGCCCAACAGCAGGCGGGCUUCAUGCACCCCGUCCCUGCCAACAUCCAGGGCCGCCUCAGCCUCUCUGUUGUUCAGGCAAAACUUGCAAAGAACUAUGGGUUAACAAAGAUGGACCCCUACUCACUGAGGACGACCUUAAACAGGUCAAAGACAUGUUCCCCAACAUGGAGGACGAGGUCGUGAGGUCAGUCCUGGAGGCCAAUCGCGGCAACAAGGACGCCACCAUUAACUCUCUGCUCCAAAUGAACAGCGACUGAGGCUCGGGGAGGGAGCAUCCGUGAGCGAAUGAGGCCGGGAGAGGAGGGAUUGAAUGGAAACAAAACCAAGGGCUGGGGUCGUAGAUUAAAAAAGACUGCUUGAAGAAUGAUUAAUUCCUAUGAAAAGCAUAAUGCAUAUGUAAUUUGUUAUGUAUUUCUCUCUGAUUUAGUGAACAACUUGCAUUAAUUGUUUUGUUGAUAUUUUUUGCAUUACAUGUAUAUCAUUAGAUUGUUGUACAGUUUUAAUCAGACCAUAAUUUCUCAUCUGGCUUUGGAGCCAUGCAAUGUAUUCUGUGUUUCACAAUAUACCAGUGACAAUUAUACAAGUAAUUAACUACAGAUUAACGUUAUUGUAUUACAGUGCCCUCUACUGGACUGUAGGGACAUCAUUGUUAUUGCUGUUGUGUUUGAUUUAAUGAGGUAGUUUGAUGUAAAUGAGAUACGUGUAUGUAGUUGUGAGGGUGAGAGAGAUUUCUUACUGUGAUAUGGAUGGAAAACAAGUGUGCGUUUGUAUUUAAUGUGUAAUAUUUAAUCAUUACUUCUAGAAUUAAAAUCAGAAUAAG
rnacentral:misc_RNA from 1 species